AGUGGCAGCGUUGUCGGAAUACUGGGCGUAAAGUAGCUCGUAGGCGGUUUGUCGCGUCUGCUGUGAAAACCCGAGGCUCAACCUCGGGCCUGCAGUGGGUACGGGCAGACUAGAGUGCGGUAGGGGAGAUUGGAAUUCCUGGUGUAGCGGUGGAAUGCGCAGAUAUCAGGAGGAACACCGAUGGCGAAGGCAGAUCUCUGGGCCGUAACUGACGCUGAGGAGCGAAAGCAUGGGGAGCGAACAGGAUUAGAUACCCUGGUAGUCCAUGCCGUAAACGUUGGGAACUAGAUGUAGGGACCAUUCCACGGUUUCUGUGUCGCAGCUAACGCAUUAAGUUCCCCGCCUGGGGAGUACGGCCGCAAGGCUAAAACUCAAAGGAAUUGACGGGGGCCCGCACAAGCGGCGGAGCAUGCGGAUUAAUUCGAUGCAACGCGAAGAACCUUACCAAGGCUUGACAUAUACCGGAAAAGUUCAGAAAUGUUCUCCCCGCAAGGUCGGUAUACAGGUGGUGCAUGGUUGUCGUCAGCUCGUGUCGUGAGAUGUUGGGUUAAGUCCCGCAACGAGCGCAACCCUCGUUCUAUGUUGCCAGCACGUCAUGGUGGGAACUCAUAGGAGACUGCCGGGGUCAACUCGGAGGAAGGUGGGGAUGACGUCAAAUCAUCAUGCCCCUUAUGUCUUGGGCUUCACGCAUGCUACAAUGGCCGAUACAAAGGGCUGCAAUACCGCGAGGUGGAGCGAAUCCCAAAAAGUCGGUCUCAGUUCGGAAUGAGGUCUGCAACUCGACCUCAUGAAGUCGGAGUCGCUAGUAAUCGCAGAUCAGCAACGCUGCGGUGAAUACGUUCCCGGGCCUUGUACACACCGNCCGUNCAGUCAUGAAAGUCGGUAACACCCGAAGCCAGUGGCCCAACCGCAAGGANG
rnacentral:rRNA from 1 species